GGUGCUAUAGUGUAGUGGUUAUCACUCGGGAUUUUGAUUUCAGGGUCAAAUGAUCAUAGCCUCACUUUCCCGAAACCCAGGUUCGAACCCUGGUAGCACCU